rnacentral:rRNA from 1 species
GACGAACGCUGGCGGCGUGCUUAACACAUGCAAGUCGAACGGAAAGGCCCUGCUUUUGUGGGGUGCUCGAGUGGCGAACGGGUGAGUAACACGUGAGUAACCUGCCCUUGACUUUGGGAUAACUUCAGGAAACUGGGGCUAAUACCGGAUAGGAGCUCCUGCUGCAUGGUGGGGGUUGGAAAGUUUCGGCGGUUGGGGAUGGACUCGCGGCUUAUAAGCUUGUUGGUGGGGUAGUGGCUUACCAAGGCUUUGACGGGUAGCCGGCCUGGGAGGGUGACCGGCCACAUUGGGACUGAGAUACGGCCCAGACUCCUACGGGAGGCAGCAGUGGGGAAUAUUGCACAAUGGGCGGAAGCCUGAUGCAGCAACGCCGCGUGCGGGAUGACGGCCUUCGGGUUGUAACCCGCUUUCGCCUGUGACGAAGCGUGAGUGACGGUAAUGGGUAAAGAAGCACCGGCUAACUACGUG